rnacentral:rRNA from 1 species
UACGUAGGGUGCGAGCGUUGUCCGGAAUUACUGGGCGUAAAGAGCUCGUAGGUGGUUUGUCGCGUUGUUCGUGAAAACUCACAACUCAAUUGUGGGCGUGCGGGCGAUACGGGCAGACUGGAGUACUGCAGGGGAGAGUGGAAUUCCUGGUGUAGCGGUGAAAUGCGCAGAUAUCAGGAAGAACACCGAUGGCGAAGGCGGCAUCCUGGACCGACACUGACGCUGAGGCGCGAAAGCUAGGGGAGCAAACGGG